rnacentral:lncRNA from 1 species
AGAGGCGUAUUCAGGAUUUAUAGAUAAUGGGUGCACUAUUACAAAAAGGUGGAUCUAAGACAUAAAUUUGAUCGGUUAGAUUCUUUUUACUGAAAACCAUUAAAAUUUUAAAAUCAUAGGUCCAAAAUUAACUUUUAUUUAUCCAAACUAGUUACAAAAUCUUAGAAAGAAAACUAAAACAAGAUAAAUAAAAGAUUCAAAUUUC